AGUAACGCGUGAGCAAUCUGCCUUUGGAUGGGGGAUAACAGCCGGAAACGACUGCUAAUACCGCAUAAUGCAGCGGGAUCGCAUGGUUUUGCUGCCAAAGAUUUAUCGUCCAAAGAUGAGCUCGCGUCUGAUUAGCCAGUUGGCGGGGUAACGGCCCACCAAAGCGACGAUCAGUAGCCGGACUGAGAGGUUGAACGGCCACAUUGGGACUGAGACACGGCCCAGACUCCUACGGAAGGCAGCAG
rnacentral:rRNA from 1 species